CAAAAAUAAAAUUAAGUGAAGUAGGAUUCUUAUUCAACAAAUGUAACAUCAAUAAACACAUAGAAUUUUCGUAUGUGCAAAUGGUAACAUUUAUACCCCAUUUAAAAUGAGGAGUACCCUCAACAAAUAUACAUUUCAAGACCCAAGGAUCAAGUUUUCCUCUUUAAUGGGAAUUGAUAUGAACAAACACAAUACACCCAAAUAUCCGAGAGACCAAAUGGUUUUUGACACUUAUUAUUGAAGUGUAGAAGAAUUUUGAAUCAAGAAUGCUGGUGGAAAGACGACUAAUAAUGCAGAUGACAGAUGGUUAAUAUUGUUUUAGAAUAUUGAUUUAGGAAAAGAAAACUCUGGUGGUGACUAAAAAGUGACUAUUCUUGUGUUUUGCUACUCCAUUUUGUUGUAGAGUGUAGAUGCAUGAUGAUUCAUAAAGAAUUCCUUCUUGAUAGAAGAAUGGUUGAGGUGUGUCUGUGGCUGGGCUGUGUGCGAUUGAGCGACUGCCAUGGACUAGGUGCAGCUGGGCUAUACACGGUUGGGCUGGGUGAACUGGAUCCAGCAAUGAAGGCCGGUCUUGGUGGAGAUGGCCAGUGCCAUGGACUAGGUGCAGCUGGGCUAUACACGGUUGGGCUGGGUGAACUGGAUCCAGCAAUGAAGGCCGGUCUUGGUGGAGAUGGCCAGGUAAGAUGUUAGCUUGUGCUGGAAAUGGCUGGUCUAUGGUGGUUGGCAACUAAGGUUGUGAUGGCCGACAAUGAAGGUUUGGCUCCCUUUAGGGUUUUAUUAUUUCAGUAAUUAAAGCUAAAUAGUGUUUACAAAAGAGUUCAAGAUUUCUUCACCUAAAGUUUUGAUACUAU
rnacentral:lncRNA from 1 species